rnacentral:sRNA from 1 species
GCAGAGUGUUGGGGUGUACCCUUGUAAUCCCAGAAACUUGGGAGGCUGAGGUAGGAGGAUUACAGGUUCAAGGCCAACCUCAGAAACUUGGUGAGACCCUGUCUCAA